AAAAAAACCACUUAAACUUGAGAAAAAGACAAAAUUCUGACUGUAGAUUAUCAAAUCUUGAGGAGUUAAGAUGCUAUUAAUUGGGCCCUAAGCUUGAGUGCUUGACCCUCCAAUCCAAAUUCCAAAAUUUCUCGCUUUCAUUGGUAGUUGGUAGAAUGAUGAAAGACAUGCUCCUUAUUUUCUGGUAACUACUCUAUUGCAUUCUAUUCUUUCUCUAUCUCUCUCUUUCUCGGCGAUUUUGCUCUCAGGAGAAGGAUCAUGGCUCCUGCCAUGAAAAUCGUUUUCGGUCUCUUAACCUUUGUCACCGUUGGAAUGAUCAUAGGGUAUAUGUGCAAUGUGGAAGAUUGUGCUGUGAUACUGUGAAAAAUCCAUUUUGAUAUGCCCAUUCCCUUGGAACUUGAAUUUUGGCAAUGAUGAUUUGCAGGAAGCAUCCUGAUAAACGUUCUAGUCAGUGCUAAACUUCAGUAACAGUGAUGCUCUUCUUUUUUGAACUGCAGGUGCUUUGUUUCAGUUAGCUUUUAUACAUAAAUUGGAAGAUUCAUAUGGUAAUUUUGUUGGUUCUUUUCGUUCCAUGCCUUUUAGUUUGAUGAAAUUCUUAUGUUGUUUAUGCAUGCACGCUAUGUUAAUGUUUGUUGGUUAUUUUUGUAAUUUUCAGAAUUUGUUUUAUCAUGGAAAACUAAUACUUUAUGGUGAUGUUUAAUCUUUUUCAACAUCAAAUUUCUUAUGGGGAAUUAGGGAGAAAUAGGAGUUCCUAACAUAUAGUUAGAAAUUCAUGGUAAUUGGAGGCACACAUGCAAAAUACACAACACCACAACUACUAAACACAUUCACCAGUUUUCUUACUAGUAACUUAAGAAUCGGGAAUGUAGAGUUUAAGCAUUUCAAGGGCUUUCUUAUUCCCUAAAGAAUGAUCAAUGAUUCUUUCUAUAAAUGAGAUGAUAUGAGGAAAAAUUGGGAGAAAGCAGUCUGUUGAUUAGUAUAGGUUUAGCUGACUUCAACAUGAUAUCAAAAACUUCAAUGUAGUCAGAACUUGGAAUAACAUUUUCUCUGCGUAUAUAAUGCAUGAGCUAUUUUCAUUCCUUGAAUUUGGUUAAAGUCAUUGCUAUACAUGUUAGCACAGUGUGAUUGGGCUUCUUAUGCUACUAUAGUGCAUAUUCUAGACUGUAGCAAUGUUGCUUAGGGCAUUGAAUUUUCACGCUGGGUAUGAUCAUUGAGGUAAGAUGUAAUACCAUAGGCUCAUCACCUAAAGUGCCUGCUGAAGUUAUUUUUUAGGCCUUGAGCCUACCACAUAUACCAAUGACCUAAACAUUUUUUCAGUCCCAAUAGACACAUAGGCCCCAUCACCUGGAACUUCAAGCCUGAUAGAUACAGGAAUAUCAGUUUUCAGUAUGCUUUAUUGUUUAUUAGUUAUCUUUUUUUUUUUCCCCUUUACCCCCACUUCUAAUAAGUUCAGCCUCCUUUUUCUUUCUCAUUUUAAAAAUAUGAAUUUAAUUUCUGUUUUAGCUUCCUUUUCCUGGCCUGUUCCUUUUAAAGCUUAUUGAUGUUUAUAUCUUAAAUUCUGCAAUUGUUUGGAGUUCAUUAGAUUGUGUUUCAGUUUUCUUCUUGUUCUUUUUUUCCCCUUUCCUUUCUCAUGAUGUUAGCCUUCUUUGUUACAUUAGUUGAUUUCUUGCAAGCUGUAAUGAAUAUGUAUGGGCUAUGUGAUGCACAAUUGUGUUACUUAUCUGCAUGCAUCUGUUUCUCACAUAUCAUUUCGAUAGGUGAUGAUAUGAUAAUGAACAACUCAUUAAUGAAAUUGGUGAGAAAGUGGGUUUUGAAAGCAAUUUAUGGUGGUUGGUUUAAGUUAAUGGGCUAAAACUUUGGUUUCUUAAUUUGUUGUGAGCAGUGGAAGUAUUUUAACAACCAAUAGGUUCUGUCCUAUGUUUUUACAGCAGUAUAACUGUCACGUUUUCUAUAAUUGAUUACCACAUGGAAAGUUUCUAGUUAUAUGUACAUGCAAACUAAGGAUGUUAAAGUCUGAUGAAAUUAGUGUCCAUAGAAAAUUUCUUGGAUACACAUAUUAUUUAUGAUUUCAAAUGUUGCAUUUCUUAUUUUCUUUAUACAAGAUGAAUUGCUUAAGAACCAGAACUAACAUUGUGGUGUAUUUUCUUUUGAACCACAUCCUUUAUAGGCACCGAGUUUCCAUCAUUGCGGAAAAUUCAAAAUGAUGGCUAUCUUCUGUUGCCCAAAGGUUGGUAUGGUUCCUAUUAAUCAUUGUUCAGAUAAGACACCACAAUGGUAGUUUGCAUAAGGACCUUCUAAUGUUAGCUAAAUAUAGUGAGUAAGCUUAUGAGAAAGGACCACAAAUGUGUUUGUUGAAACUUGUAAUUAUGCUAAUUAUAUGUUAGAUACAUGGAGAGUUAUCUUUGAUGUGCUAAUUUUGACUCCCCUAUCUUUUUUGCAAUGUGUUUUGCCCUCAAUGAUAGUCUGACUUUGUAAGACAUGCACAUGACUGGAGUACCCUGAAUGCCAUUAUUAUGACUUGUGAACAAUUGAGACUUCUUGAUUCCAGCAUGUAGAGCCGAAGAUGUUUUCACCAUUUCAUGGUUGUAAAGCCAUAUGAUAGGUUGUUUGAAAAUAUAGUUCUAUAUGUUUGGUUAUUAAUUUAUGUUCUAUUUUUUUAAAUAUAAUUUUCAGGUAUUCCUCAUUGGGAUAAUGACAAAGAAGCGGAAAUUUUACGUCUUGGAUAUGUCAAACCUGAAAUAAUUAGCUGGUCGCCACGAAUCAUUGUACUGCAUAACUUUUUGAGCAUGGAGGAAUGUGACUAUCUUAGAGCCAUAGCCCUCCCUCGCCUUGAAAUUUCUACUGUGGUGGAUACAAAAACAGGGAAGGGAAUCAAGAGUAAUGUAAGGACAAGCUCUGGCAUGUUU
rnacentral:misc_RNA from 1 species